rnacentral:rRNA from 1 species
CAGUCGCCACGGUAAUACGUAGGGUGCAAGCGUUAAUCGGAAUUACUGGGCGUAAAGCGUGCGCAGGCGGUUUGUUAAGACAGAUGUGAAAUCCCCGGGCUCAACCUGGGAACUGCAUUUGUGACUGGCAAGCUAGAGUCUGGCAGAGGGGGGUGGAAUUCCGCGUGUAGCAGUGAAAUGCGUAGAUAUGCGGAGGAACACCGAUGGCGAAGGCAGCCCCCUGGGCCAACACUGACGCUCAUGCACGAAAGCGUGGGGAGCAAACAGGAUUAGAUACCCCCGUAGUCCCUGUCUCUUAUAC